rnacentral:tRNA from 1 species
GCCACGCUAGCGCAGUAGGCAGCGCGUCAGUCUCAAAAUCUGAAGGUCGUGAGUUCGAUCCUCACAUGGGGCA